rnacentral:rRNA from 1 species
CACGAACGCUGGCGGCAGGCUUAACACAUGCAAGUCGAGCGCCCCGCAAGGGGAGCGGCAGACGGGUGAGUAACGCGUGGGAAUCUACCCAUCUCUACGGAAUAACGCAUGGAAACGUGUGCUAAUACCGUAUACGUUCUUCGGGAGAAAGAUUUAUCGGAGAUGGAUGAGCCCGCGUUGGAUUAGCUAGUUGGUGGGGUAAAGGCCUACCAAGGCGACGAUCCAUAGCUGGUCUGAGAGGAUGAUCAGCCACACUGGGACUGAGACACGGCCCAGACGCCUACAGGAGGCAGCAGUGGGGAAUAUUGGACAAUGGGCGCAAGCCUGAUCCAGCCAUGCCGCGUGAGUGAUGAAGGCCCUAGGGUUGUAAAGCUCUUUCACCGGUGAAGAUAAUGACGGUAACCGGAGAAGAAGCCCCGGCUAACUUCGUGCCAGCCGCCGCGGUAAUAC